GGGUUGUGAGGUUAAGCGACUAAGCGUACACGGUGGAUGCCCUGGCAGUCAGAGGCGAUGAAGGACGUGCUAAUCUGCGAUAAGCGUCGGUAAGGUGAUAUGAACCGUUAUAACCGGCGAUUUCCGAAUGGGGAAACCCAGUGUGUUUCGACACACUAUCAUUAACUGAAUCCAUAGGUUAAUGAGGCGAACCGGGGGAACUGAAACAUCUAAGUACCCCGAGGAAAAGAAAUCAACCGAGAUUCCCCCAGUAGCGGCGAGCGAACGGGGAGGAGCCCAGAGCCUGAAUCAGUGUGUGUGUUAGUGGAAGCGUCUGGAAAGGCGCGCGAUACAGGGUGACAGCCCCGUACACAAAAAUGCACAUGCUGUGAGCUCGAUGAGUAGGGCGGGACACGUGGUAUCCUGUCUGAAUAUGGGGGGGGACCAUCCUCCAAGGCUAAAUACUCCUGACUGACCGAUAGUGAACCAGUACCGUGAGGGAAAGGCGAAAAGAACCCCGGCGAGGGGAGUGAAAAAGAACCUGAAACCGUGUACGUACAAGCAGUGGGAGCACAGAGCAAUCUGUGUGACUGCGUACCUUUUGUAUAAUGGGUCAGCGACUUAUAUUCUGUAGCAAGGUUAACCGAAUAGGGGAGCCGAAGGGAAACCGAGUCUUAACUGGGCGUUAAGUUGCAGGGUAUAGACCCGAAACCCGGUGAUCUAGCCAUGGGCAGGUUGAAGGUUGGGUAACACUAACUGGAGGACCGAACCGACUAAUGUUGAAAAAUUAGCGGAUGACUUGUGGCUGGGGGUGAAAGGCCAAUCAAACCGGGAGAUAGCUGGUUCUCCCCGAAAGCUAUUUAGGUAGCGCCUCGUGAAUUCAUCUCCGGGGGUAGAGCACUGUUUCGGCAAGGGGUCAUCCCGACUUACCAACCCGAUGCAAACUGCGAAUACCGGAGAAUGUUAUCACGGGAGACACACGGCGGGUGCUAACGUCCGUCGUGAAGAGGGAAACAACCCAGACCGCCAGCUAAGGUCCCAAAGUCAUGGUUAAGUGGGAAACGAUGUGGGAAGGCCCAGACAGCCGUGAUGUUGGCUUAGAAGCAGCCAUCAUUUAAAGAAAGCGUAAUAGCUCACUGGUCGAGUCGGCCUGCGCGGAAGAUGUAACGGGCUAAACCAUGCACCGAAGCUGCGGCAGCGACGCUUAUGCGUUGUUGGGUAGGGGAGCGUUCUGUAAGCCUGUGAAGGUGUACUGUGAGGUAUGCUGGAGGUAUCAGAAGUGCGAAUGCUGACAUAAGUAACGAUAAAGCGGGUGAAAAGCCCGCUCGCCGGAAGACCAAGGGUUCCUGUCCAACGUUAAUCGGGGCAGGGUGAGUCGACCCCUAAGGCGAGGCCGAAAGGCGUAGUCGAUGGGAAACAGGUUAAUAUUCCUGUACUUGGUGUUACCGCGAAGGGGACGGAGAAGGCUAUGUUGGCCGGGCGACGGUUGUCCCGGUUUAAGCGUGUAGGCUGGUUUUCCAGGCAAAUCCGGAAAAUCAAGGCUGAGGCGUGAUGACGAGGCACUACGGUGCUGAAGCAACAAAUGCCCUGCUUCCAGGAAAAGCCUCUAAGCAUCAGGUAACAUCAAAUCGUACCCCAAACCGACACAGGUGGUCAGGUAGAGAAUACCAAGGCGCUUGAGAGAACUCGGGUGAAGGAACUAGGCAAAAUGGUGCCGUAACUUCGGGAGAAGGCACGCUGAUAUGUAGGUGAAGUCCCUCGCGGAUGGAGCUGAAAUCAGUCGAAGAUACCAGCUGGCUGCAACUGUUUAUUAAAAACACAGCACUGUGCAAACACGAAAGUGGACGUAUACGGUGUGACGCCUGCCCGGUGCCGGAAGGUUAAUUGAUGGGGUCAGCGCAAGCGAAGCUCUUGAUCGAAGCCCCGGUAAACGGCGGCCGUAACUAUAACGGUCCUAAGGUAGCGAAAUUCCUUGUCGGGUAAGUUCCGACCUGCACGAAUGGCGUAAUGAUGGCCAGGCUGUCUCCACCCGAGACUCAGUGAAAUUGAACUCGCUGUGAAGAUGCAGUGUACCCGCGGCAAGACGGAAAGACCCCGUGAACCUUUACUAUAGCUUGACACUGAACAUUGAGCCUUGAUGUGUAGGAUAGGUGGGAGGCUUUGAAGUGUGGACGCCAGUCUGCAUGGAGCCGACCUUGAAAUACCACCCUUUAAUGUUUGAUGUUCUAACGUGGACCCGUAAUCCGGGUUGCGGACAGUGUCUGGUGGGUAGUUUGACUGGGGCGGUCUCCUCCUAAAGAGUAACGGAGGAGCACGAAGGUUGGCUAAUCCUGGUCGGACAUCAGGAGGUUAGUGCAAUGGCAUAAGCCAGCUUGACUGCGAGCGUGACGGCGCGAGCAGGUGCGAAAGCAGGUCAUAGUGAUCCGGUGGUUCUGAAUGGAAGGGCCAUCGCUCAACGGAUAAAAAGGUACUCCGGGGAUAACAGGCUGAUACCGCCCAAGAGUUCAUAUCGACGGCGGUGUUUGGCACCUCGAUGUCGGCUCAUCACAUCCUGGGGCUGAAGUAGGUCCCAAGGGUAUGGCUGUUCGCCAUUUAAAGUGGUACGCGAGCUGGGUUUAGAACGUCGUGAGACAGUUCGGUCCCUAUCUGCCGUGGGCGCUGGAGAAUUGAGGGGGGCUGCUCCUAGUACGAGAGGACCGGAGUGGACGCAUCACUGGUGUUCGGGUUGUCAUGCCAAUGGCACUGCCCGGUAGCUAAAUGCGGAAGAGAUAAGUGCUGAAAGCAUCUAAGCACGAAACUUGCCCCGAGAUGAGUUCUCCCUGACUCCUUGAGAGUCCUGAAGGAACGUUGAAGACGACGACGUUGAUAGGCCGGGUGUGUAAGCGCAGCGAUGCGUUGAGCUAACCGGUACUAAUGAACCGUGAGGCUUAACCUUACAACGCCGAAG
rnacentral:rRNA from 1 species